rnacentral:rRNA from 1 species
UUCUUGUUGGUAAGGUAGUGGCCUACCAAGGUGAUAACGGGUAACGGGGAAUCAGGGUUCGAUUCCGGAGAGGGAGCCUGAGAGACGGCUACCACGUCCAAGGACGGCAGCAGGCGCGCAAAUUACCCAAUCCAGACGUUGGGAGGUAGUGACGAGAAAUACAGGGGCAUGUCUUAAAGGCGUGCGACCUGAAUGAACGUAACCUGGAUCCUUCGUUGAGGAUCGACUGGAGGGCAAGUCUGGUGCCAGCAGCCGCGGUAAUUCCAGCUCCAGUAGUGUAUAUCAAAAUUGUUGCGAUUAAAACGCUCGUAGUUGAAUUACAAAGGUGUGGUCGAGUCCAAGUGAGUUGGAGUAGACGGGACCUUUUUAUCGCAAGCUUGGUCGGUCCACUUUGGUGUGGGAGGCCAUUACUUGUGGAGUGUGCCUUGAAUAAAACAUAGUGCUCAAAGCAGGCAGUUGCUCGAAUGGGAUAGCAUGGAACGAAUAGAUUGAUUACGGUUCAGUUGUUGGUUAUCUGAACCGGGUCCUGGUUGAUAGGGACAUUUGAGGGCAUUAGUACUCGGUGGCGAGAGGUGAAAUUCUGAGACCCACUGAAGACUGACAAUUGCGAAAGCAUUUGCCCAAGGUGUUUUCGUUGAUCAAGAACGAAAGUCGGAGGUUCGAAGACGAUCAGAUACCGUCCUAGUUCCGACUAUAAACUAUGCCAUCACGGGAUCAGUCCGGCUUGACCCUGAUUGGUCCCCCCGGGAAACCUGUAGUUAUCUGGUUUCGGGGGGAGUAUUGUCGCAAGGCCGAAACUUGAAGGAAUUGACGGAAGGGCACCACCAGGAGUGGAGCCUGCGGCUUAAUUUGACUCAACACGGGGCAACUCACCAGGUCCAGACAUUGAAAGGAUUGACAGACUGAGAGACCUUUCAUGAUACAUUGGUUGGUGGUGCAUGGCCGUUCUUAGUUGGUGGAGUGAUCUGUCAGGUUUAUUCCGGUAACGAGCGAGACCACGACCUUUAGUUCAUAGGGGUGUGUGCACUGGUUGUGUGCACCUAUGCUAGAGGGACAACCGAAUAUUAAAGUCGGAGGAGGCGUGGCAAUAACAGGUCUGUGAUGCCCUUCGAUGUUCUGGGCUGCACGCGCGCUACAAUGGCAGCGACAACGAGAGUCUGUUCCGAGAGGGGUGGGUAACCUUGUGAAUCGCUGUCGUGAUGGGGAUUGAGCCUUGUAAUUAUUGCUCAUGAAAGAGGAAUC